CCUACGGGGGGCAGCAGUGGGGAAUAUUGCACAAUGGGGGAAACCCUGAUGCCUCCCCUCCGCUUUCUUUCCUCCUUCUUUCUUUCUUUCCCUCUCUCUCCUCCUUGAAGAGAAUGACGGUACCUGCCUAAGAAGCCCCGGCUAACUACGUGCCAGCCGCCGCGGUAAUACGUAGGGGGCGAGCGUUUUCCGGAUUUAAUGGGGGUAAAGGGUGCGUAGACGGGUUGGCAAGUCUGAGGUGAAAGCCCGAGGCUUAACCGCGGAACGGCAUUGGAAACUGGGGAACUGGAGUGCUGGAGAGGCGAGCGGAAUUCCUAGUGUAGCGGUGAAAUGCGUAGAUAGUAGGAGGAACACCAGUGGCGAAGGCGGUUUGCGGGACAGUAACUGACGUUGAGGCUCGAAAGCGUGGGGAGCAAACAGGAUUAGAUACCCGAGUAGUC
rnacentral:rRNA from 1 species